rnacentral:rRNA from 1 species
GUGGGGAAUCUUAGACAAUGGGCGCAAGCCUGAUCUAGCCAUGCCGCGUGAGCGAUGAAGGCCUUAGGGUUGUAAAGCUCUUUCAGGGGGGAAGAUAAUGACGGUACCCCCAGAAGAAGCCCCGGCUAACUCCGUGCCAGCAGCCGCGGUAAUACGGAGGGGGCUAGCGUUGUUCGGAAUUACUGGGCGUAAAGCGCACGUAGGCGGACCAGAAAGUCAGGGGUGAAAUCCCGGGGCUCAACCCCGGAACUGCCUUUGAAACUCCUGGUCUUGAGGUCGAGAGAGGUGAGUGGAAUUCCGAGUGUAGAGGUGAAAUUCGUAGUUAUUCGGAGGAACACCAGUGGCGAAGGCGGCUCACUGGCUCGAUACUGACGCUGAGGUGCGAAAGCGUGGGGAGCAAACAGGAUUAGAAACCCUGGUAGUCC